UCCUCAUAACAAGUCUAACUGGCUCUGGAAAGCUGAAAGGGCUGCACUGGAACAACACAGAUGAGAUAUUCUACACAUUAAUCUACUUAUCUGGAAUCACUUUGCCUCUAAAGGCCAGAGAAAAAUCACAGCUUCCUUGUCGGAGGGGAAAAGGACAGGUGAUCUGGGGAAAACGCAGCUACACCUGGAGCAAGGUCUCUUCCCGGCUUGGCAAUCUCAGCUGUGCCGGCGCUACAGGACCCGAGCCGUCCCAAAAACCAAAGGGCAGGCACGGCAGCAAACGCCUGAGGACUGAGAAGACGUCAAGGUCCAGACACUCGUCAUUAACACCUACUCACAACCGAUUCCCCCACCCACUUUGGCCUCGCCAAGAUUUGGCAAGCAGGAGAAUUAAAUGUCACUUUGCUACCAUCCUCUGCUCAACCUCCAACAGAAAAACCCACAUUGCCCAAGUACAAAGCAUGAAAUACUGCUGGCCUACCCUGACUUUUCAGCUAUUCUCCUUGCAUAUAGUAAAUGACUCCCCAGGAGACAUCAUCUUAAAGUCUGAGACACAAAAAAGGACCCAAAGUCCUAUAUGCUUGAAGAAUUGCAUGGCAAUAUAUUUAGUUAACAUUUUCUAUUUUAUUAGAAAAAACAGACAAUUCAAUUGUCGAUGUGAUCGUUUCAGGCUUCCCAGCCUCUCCUUUCUGACAUCAUCCUAUAUACUACAACCUCCACCAGAAAAGCAGUAUGGUACUGGGAAAAAGAGAUCUAAAGGCAGAACACUAGGGCUUCACUCUCAGCACUGUUAACUGAGUGGCUUGACUAAGUCACUGAAAUUCACUGAAACUGCAGUUUCCCCUUCUGUCAAAGGGGGAUAACAAUAUCAGCUUCACAGGGUGCUGUGAAGGAAGCAAAGGAGAAAAUGAAAGUGAGCAUCCUUUUAAAUUAUAAACAGAGAAUAAGGGAGAGGGGAGGGGGAAGGGGAGAGGAGGAAGAAAGGAAACAAUCUGCCCUCCCUCACCCCUUCACACUAGGUAAAAUAAAAUGUUUAGACAGAAAAACCUAAAGAAAAGGAUCCAAAUAAAAUAUUCUUAGGAACUGUCAAAGGGAGAAGACAUUGGAAUCUCCAAAUCUGGCCAAGAGCUCAGCCUAAGCAGCAUGUUUUGAACUCCUGAGUCCAUGGAACCCUGCACUAAAGCUUUGGGACUCUGACCUGCAGGAAAAAAAAAAAAAAAAAAUGCUUCCCUCAGUUCAUUCCCUGUAGUUUAAAAACAAGAGCAACUGAAGGGCAAGCUUCGGGGGCAAGGGGAGACAAACACCUCAGACCAUUAACUUACUUUAUCCCCAUUGGAAAUCAACUUCUGGAGAACAUUUCAGCUUUGUAUGCUCUUCUUGGUCCCACUCAAAUGGGAAGUUCUGCUGGAGGCCAGAAAUAGAAAACAGGAAGUCAACAGAACUGAUUUUCCUAACUGCCCAAAUGCAAAUCACCAUACUCCGUUAUGGAUGAGAAUUAGAGUAAAAUGUAAACUUCUUUUUAAAAAGAAGUUCACAUGCUAACUGUGUACAGAAAACAUCCUACUCCAGGGAAGAAAGAAAGAAAGGAAAGAUCCAUCAGCUUCCUUCCUUAAUAAAGGAGGAUUGACAGAGCUGGACUGACAGUGAAGUAAAGGUUACCGAGGGUGUGCUCAUCAGAACCACACUGCCACUAAAAAUAAUGAAGUGUCCCACUUUGAUGCUGACACUAUUCUCCAAGCUGGUUCCUCUAAAGAAAAUAAUACGGCCCAGUUCCUGGCUUUUGAAGAACUAGAGAAAAUCAUCAUCAUUGGUGCCUCCAAGGCUCUUUGGUUGGUUCUGCAAUCAUAGGAACCCUUACCUGGUCUCCUGAGACAUUCUCCUCUCUCCACACCCUAGUACAACACCACCCACACACCUGAUGGCAGAGCUUUUAGGUGAGCUUCUCCAUCUUCUGGCUUAGAGUUACCCAGGAAUAAAGAAUAGCUCCUGUAGCUCUGAAUCCUUCAAAUCCCCCGAUUGGCCCUUAACUGACUUCCUUAGUGAAUCUGCAGACUUUUGGAUGGGAGACAAAUAUGCACAAACUAUACCUACAAUUCAAUGUAGGACAAAGGCUACCUGGUACAAUAUUAAUAUGUGCCGGCAUUGGAGAUUUUGGAAUCUUAGGACUUAAAGAAGGGUCUAAUUCGAUUACCUCGGUUCCAGAUGAGAAAAUGAAGGCCCAGAAAAGCAAGUGAUUUGCCUAAGAUCUCACAGUGACCAGUGAAGGACCAGAGCUGGACUAGGCUCUCCCGUCAGCAGUUAGGGCUCUUCCCAGUGUCCUUCCUCUUCCACAUGCUACUUGCCCUUCACUUUAUAGAGUCCUAUCUUCUGCAGGGAAAUGCAUUGAUACAGUCCCCUGUGCUUUGAUCUUGGUGUUACAGUUACAUCUCUAGAGGAUUCUUAUAUACCAUAGUAUGUUUCACAUUUGGUCAUCAUUGGAACUCUCUGUUUUUCUGUGCUCUUGCCUGGACUUCUUUCAAAAGGAAUCCAUUCAUUAACAAAUCUUUCAGAAAAAAAAAAAUGUCUGCAGCAUUAUCAGAAGUUAAUCAUUUAAAUCUAAAGGAGAGAGUAAAAGGUUAGGUAUAGUGGAUUAAAGAGUUCUUUUUUCGAAUGGGCGCGGUGGCUCACGCCUGUAAUCCCAGCAUUUUGGGAGGCUGCGGUGGGUGGAUCAUCUGAGGUCAGGAGUUCGAGACCAGCCUGAUUAACAUGGUGAAAGCCUGUCUCUACUGAAAAAUGCAAAAAUUAGCCGGGCGUGGUGGUGCACGCCUGUAAUCCCAGCCACUCGGGAGGCUGAGGCGGGAGAAUUGCCUGAACCCGGGAGGCAGAGGUUGCAGUGAGCUGAGAUUGUGCCAUUGCACUCCAGGCUGGGCAACAAGAGUGAAACUCCAUCACAGAAAAAAAAAAAAAAAAAAAAAAGAGUUCUUUUUUCCAGCUGAAGAUAGUCAAGCGGGUUAUUUUCUACUGUCUUCCUCGGAAAGGGACGGGUAAAUUGAAGCAAAAAGCAGACAAGUUCUAUGGGAUUUGCUGGCAUGGAUUUCCCAGGGUGGCAAAGUGCUAAGAACUAAACCUUUAAAGCUAACAAAAUGUACUGAUGUCUUUGCAAAGUAUCCAAGACCAACAAGAAAGUAAUUUCCCACCUCACCCUACCACCACCCAGAAAAGGAGCACAGAGAUGGGCAAGAGAGUGGCUGCAUCUGGCAUCCAGCCAGAGGAGUCCGUGCAGGGAUUCUGGAUCCCUCUUCCCCCACCCCACUGCCCUUCCCCCUCCACCCCAGCAUUUUGGAGAAGCAAGAAACUGUAAUGAUGCAGCUCCCUCAAGUGUCACAUGAACAUACUGGAAAGAGCCUCCUGAGGUAAAUAUGCCAUGCAGACAGAAACAAGCAAUGGCUCAACAGCAAUGUAUGAGGUCCAAGGACCAGGACCAAAGGGAAAAACAGCCAUCUCACCAGACACCUGCCUACUACCAGAUGCGUCAUCUCCAAUAUUAGCUAACUCCCUGGAACCUGGACUCAAGGUGUGAAAUAAAGGUUAAUGGGAAACCGCAGGAGUCAAAAGGAGGGGGCAGGAUUAUUGAGGAUUCAGGCUGUUGAGAAAUGAAAGUUUGGAUCACUCCCCAGAUAAAGAACCUUGACCAUUUAAGGGCAAUGGAAAUAUAGAAUAGGCAGUAGAAGAAGGAAGCCAUAGAUACCAACUAUGGCCUCUCAAUCAAUUACAAAACUGAGAAUUCUGACAGUUUUGUGUAUUUCCUCUUUGCAUGUGAUGUAUAUGUGUGUAUUUGUAUAUAUUAACCAUUUUCCUUUUUCUCUCCUCAUUAUUUUAUGAAAGCUGUUGAAUAUAAACUCUACAAUUUAGCCUUUAGGUAAGAGAAUAUUCAGUGGGACUUUGAUUUGAGGAGUAUUUAAGACAGCCAGAUGAGACUACGAUAACUGUUGGAACUGUGUGUCUCCUCAUUUGGGGAAAGGGGUGAGAACUCUGCAUUUCUCUGAAGAACAGAGUUGACUUUGUGUUAUACAGAGUUCAAAUAUAUAUAUAAAAUGAUGCAUGUGGAAGCUAAGAAGCCAAAGGAGUUCACCAAGACAGUUAUCGAUAUAUUGCCUCUCCGCUCCAAAUCCACCCUUCUUUGCCCUGUUCCAUGAUACUAAUCUGGCUCCUCGGUCAGCCAGUGCAAUGUCAUCUGUUGCUGGUAGAGUGUAGGGGAGACACUACAAGGUAUAGUAAAGGGGUCAGAUGCGGUGUCUCAUGCCUGUAAUCACAGCCCUUUGGGAGGCAGAGGCAGGAGGAUCACCUGAGGCCAGGAGUUUGAGACCAGCCUGGACAACAUGGUAAAACCCCAUCUCUACUGAAAAUACAAAAUUAGCACGCACCUGUAAUCCCAGCUACUCGGGAGGCUGAGGCAGGAGAAUCACUUGAACCUGGGAGGUGGAGGUUGCAGUGAGCCAAGAUCGCAUCAUUGCACUCCAGCCAGGGAAAAAAGGCAAAACUCUGUCUCAAAAAAAUAAAUAAAUAAAAUAAAAUAAAACAAGGUAUAGCAAAUAAAGGAGCAUUCCUUCUUGAUUCUUCCUGGUUCUUGUUACCUGUGGCCGCCACCAGUGGUGUAUGGGAGAGUCACCCUACAGUGAGUUCCACCAGCACCUAGUGAGGGCUUCCUACUGAGUUUUAUUGUCACCCGAGCAGGCAAUUUCCUUGCCAGCAGUAUGCAGGAGACCCAAUGGUGACCACCUUCCAGUGGGUUUUUCCAGCACCCUAGAAGGCACUUUUUUGACCACAGUGCUGAUCCACUGGCACCCAACAGCCAGUACCCUACUCACCAGGCCUGGCCUGUGGCACCUCAAAGAACUUUUCUAUCCUGCAGGCCACAGCACCACCCUCUCCAACAAGGUCUGAAUCUCAGCCUUGAGGUGUGAAAGACACUUCCAUGUUUGUUCUUUUCUUGGGUAUCCUCCCUCAGUCCUAGAAGUAGCAGCUCUUCCCUAUGUUUGCUAUUUCUGUGUUAUUUAGCAUACAAUUUACCCCUUUUGUAGUUUAUCACAUUUUGCCAGUUAAUAAUUCUUUAUAGUAAAUGUUCCCUCUUCAAAUUACUAUCUCUCACCAAACACUGACUUCUAUAUCCUCAUCAGACACUGAGUGACACAACCUCCUUCAGAAAAGAAUCCCUUUCACCCUGCCCUUCAUGAUGAACACUCUCAACAAAUUAGGUAUAGCAGGAACAUACCUUAACAUAAUAAAGGCCAUAUAUGGCGAGCCCACAGCUAACAUCAUACUGAAUGGGGAAUAACUGAAAGCCUUUCCUCUAAAAACUAGAAUAAGACAAGGAUACCUACUCUAAGCACUCUUAUUUGGCAUUAUACUGGAAGUCCUAGCCAGACUUUCUCUUUCCAGAAAGAGAAAGAAAUGAAAGACAUCCAAACUGGAAAACAGGAUGCCAGCCAGUUGUGGUGGCUCAAGCCUGUAAUCCCAGCACUUCGGGAGGCUGAGGUGGGCAGAUCGCUUGAACCCAGGAGUUCAAAUCCAGACUAGACAACAUGAUGAAACCCUGUCUCUAUGAAAAAUACAAAAAUUAGCCAGGUGUGGUGGCACACACCUGUAGUCCCAACUACUCAGGAGGCUGAGGUGGGAGGAUCACUUGAGCCUGGGAAAUAGAGGAUGCAGUGAGUCAAGAUCACACCAGAGCACUCUAGCCUGGAUGACAGAGAGAGAUUCCAAUUCAAAAAAAAAAAAAGGAAGAAGCCAAAUUGUCUCUACUUCAGAUGACGUGAUUUUACAAAUUCAGUAAUGUUACAAGACACAAAAUCAAUAUAAAAAAUCGGUUGUGUUUUUAUACACCAAUAACCAACUAACUGAAAAAGAAACCAAGAAAGCAACCUCAUUUAUAACUUCAAAAAAGUCUCAGGGAUAAAUUUAGCCAAGGAGGUGAAAGAUUUCUAUGAAAGCCAAAACAAAACAAAACAAAAAACACUACACCCUGAUGAACAAAAUUGAAGAGGAUACCAAAAAUAGAAAGACAUAUUAUGCUCAUGAAUUGGAACAAUUAAUAUUGUUAAAAAUGACUAUACUACCCAAGGUAAGCUAUAGAUUUAAUGCAAUUCCUAUCAAGAUACUAAUGACAUUCUUUGAAUCAAUAGAAAAAACAAUCCUAGAAUUCACAUAGAACCAUAGAAGAGCCCAAAUAGCAGCAAUACUCAGCAAAAAGAACAAAGCUGAAGGCAAUCACACUAACACAUUUCAGAAUAUACUACAAAGCUAUAGCAACCAAAACACUAUGCUAUUGGUAUAAAAACAGAUACACAGACCAAUGGAACAGAAUAGAGAAUCCAGAAAUAAAUUCACAUAUUUACAGCCAGCCAAUUUUUGACAAAGUUGCCAGGAACAUACACUGAGGAAAGGACAUUCUUUUCAAUAAAUUGUGCUAAGAAAACUGGAUAUUCACAUGCAGAAGAAUGAAACUAGACCUCUAUCUCUCACAAUGUAUAAAAAUCAAUUCAAAAUGGAUUAAAGACUUAAAUACAAGACCUGAAACUAUAAAACUACUAAAAGAAAACAUAGAGGAAAUGCUUCAAGAUAUUGAUCUAGGCAAAGAUUUUAUGGCUAAGAUCUCAAAAGCAGGGGCAACCAAAACAAAAAUAGACAAAUGGAACGACAUUAAACUAAAAAGCUUCUGCGCAGGAAAGGAAACAAUCAACAGAGUGAAGAGAUAACAUGAACAAUGGAGAAAAAAUUGCUAACUAUUCAUCCAACAAGGGACUAAUAUCCAGAAUAUACAUAGAACUCAAAACAACUCGACAGCAAAGAAUCAAAUAAUCUCACUAAAAAGUGAGCAAAGGACAUGAAUAGACAUUUCUAAAAAGACAAAUGGCUAACAGGUUUAGGAAAAACUGCUCAACAUCACGGAUCAUCAGGAAAAUACAGAUCAAAACCACAAUGAGAUACCAUCUCACCCCAGUUAGAAUGGUUAUUAUCAAAGUCAAAAAAUAACACAUGCUGGUGAUUAUGUGGAGAAAAGGGAACUCUUUAUGCAUUGUUGGGAAUGUAGAUUAGUACAACGACUAUGGAAAAGAGUAUGAAAGUGUCUUUAAAAACUAAAAAUAGAACUACCAUCUGACCCAGCAAUCCCACUACUGUCUCUCUGUCCAAAGGAAAGGAAAUCAAUAAAUCAAAGGGACAACUGUACCCCCAUAUUUAUUGCUGCUCUAUUCACAACAGCCAAGGUAUGAAAUCAACCUAAGUGUCCAUCAACAGAUGAAUGAAUAAAGAAAAUAUGGUAUAUAUACACAACAAAAUACUAUUCAGCCAUUAAAAAUGAAAUCUCGUCAUAUGCGGCAACAGAGAUGGAAUUGCAAGUCAUUAUGUUUAGUGAAAUAAACCAGGCACAGAAAAACAAGUAUCACAUGUUCCCACUCAUAUGUGGGAGCUAAAAAGUUGACCUCAUGGAGGUAGGGAAUAGAAUGAUAAAUACCAGAGGCUGGGAAAGGGCUGGGGGGAUGAGGAGAGAUUGGUUAAUGGGUACAAACAUACAGUUAUGUGGAAGAAAUAAAUUCUAGUGUUUAAUAGCACAAUAGAGUGUCUAUAGUUAACAAAAAAUAUAUUGCAUAUUUCAAAAUAGCUGAAAGAGAAGAUCUGAAAUGUUCCAAACACAAAGAAAUAAAUGCUUGAGGUAAUGGAUUUUCUAAAUACACUGAUUUGAUCAUUAUAUACUGCAUGCAUGUAUCAAACUAUCACAUGUACCUGAUACAUACCAAUAUUAUGUAUUAAUAAAAAUUAAUAAAUAAUAAUAAACUUUAAAAAUAAUGUCCUUUAGAAAAGUUCUAAUUUUUUCCACAAAAAUUGAUAGUGUUAAAAAAUUAUAGCACCUCAAAAAAGACCUUUCACAAAAUAGAUGCUCAAAAAAUUCAUUGAAUUUUUGCCAAAUAAUUAUAAUUGUAAAAUUUUCCUUUUACAAGGCUGUGAAGAAAUUGGAAUCCUCAUGCCAUACUUACUGGUGAGAUUGUAAGAUGAUGCAGUCACUUUGCAAACAGUCUGGGAAUUCCUCAAAAUAUUAAACAUAGAGUCACCCUAUGACCCAGUAAUUCUAUUUCUAGAUAUGUACCCAAAAGAAAUGGAAACAUAAUGCCACGCAAAAACUUGUUCACAAAUGUUCAUGGCAGCAUUGUUCAUAGUAGCCAAAAAGUGAAAACCAUCCAAAUAUUCAUCAAGUGAUGAAUGGAUAAAUAAAGAUGUGGAAUACACAUACAAUGGAAUAUUACUCAGCUAUAAAAGGGAAAGACACUUACAAAUGCUACAUGAUAAAUGUGAAAGCAUUAUACUAAGUGAAAGAAGCCAGAGCCAGUCACAAAAUACCACAUAUCGUAUGAUGCCAUUUAUAGGAAAUGCCUAGAAUAGACAAGUCUAUGAGGACAGAAAGUUGUUUAGUGGUUGCCUAGGACUGAGGGUACAGGGUGGCAAGAGGGAGCUGCCAGGAAUGCAACAUGCUAAUGAAUAUGAAGUUUAUUUUGGGGUUCUAACAUGUUCUAGAAUUAGAUGGUGGUGAUGUUUGCACAACUCUGUGGUUAUACUAAAUAAAUGAACUGUACACUUUAAAUAUAUCUAAAUGUAUGUAAAUUAUAUCAUAAUGUCUGGGUUUUAUUAAUUGCCUUUUAAAUGUGGCUUUAGUUCUGUCUGUAUACUUCAUGAAAUGUAUCAAAGUAAUGCUAAAAUAAAACCAA